rnacentral:rRNA from 1 species
CUUAAAAUGAAUUGAGGACCCGCACAAGCAGCGGAGCGUGUGGUUAAUUCGAGGCUACACGAAGAACCUUACCAGGGUUUGACAUGCAAGUGGUAGGAAUCCGAAAGGUGACCGACCUUCGGGAGCUUGCACAGGUGCUGCAUGGCUGUCGUCAGCUCGUGUCGUGAGAUGUUCGGUUAAGUCCGCUAACGAGCGCAACCCUCGUCGUGUGUUAUACGUGUCACACGAUACUGCCGGUAUCAAGCCGGAGGAAGGUGGGGAUGAUGUCAAGUCAGCAUGGCCUUUAUAUCCUGGGCUACACACACGCUACAAUGGCAGAUACAAUAGGUUGCGAAACCGCGAGGUGGAGCCAAUCCUCAAAGUCUGUCUCAGUUCAGAUUGUAGGCUGCAACUCGCCUGCAUGAAGUUGGAGUUGCUAGUAAACGCAGGUCAGCUAUACUGCGUUGAAUACGUUCCCGGGGUUU